rnacentral:rRNA from 1 species
GAGUUUGAUCCUGGCUCACAACGAACGCUGGCGGCGUGCUUAACACAUGCAAGUCGAACGCGAAAGUUUUCUUCUGAAGAUGAGUAGAGUGGCGCACGGGUGAGUAACGCGUAAGUAAUCUACCCAGGCAUCUGGAAUAACUCAGCGAAAGCUGUGCUAAUACCGGAUACGCCGGUAACGGGAAAGGUGGCCUCUGUUUCAUGCUACCGUGCUUGGAGGAGCUUGCGUACCAUUAGCUAGUAGGUAGGGUAACGGCCUACCUAGGCGACGAUGGUUAGCGGGUCUGAGAGGAUGAUCCGCCACACUGGAACUGGAACACGGACCAGACUCCUACGGGAGGCAGCAGUGAGGAAUAUUGCGCAAUGGGGUAACCCCUGACGCAGCGACGCCGCGUGGAUGAUGAAGGCCUUCGGGUCGUAAAAUCCUGUCAGAUGGAAAGAAGUGCAUAUAUGCUAAUAUCAUGUAUGUUUGACGGUACCAUCAGAGGAAGCACCGGCUAACUCCGUGCCAGCAGCCGCGGUAAUACGGAGGGUGCGAGCGUUGUUCGGAAUUACUGGGCGUAAAGCGCGCGUAGGCGGUUUUGUAAGUCAGAUGUGAAAGUCCCCGGCUCAACCGUGGAAGUGCAUUUGAAACUGCAAGACUUGAGUACUGGAGGGGGUAGUGGAAUUCCCGGUGUAGAGGUGAAAUUCGUAGAUAUCGGGAGGAAUACCGGUGGCGAANGCGACUGCCUGGCCAGAUACUGACGCUGANGUGCGAAAGCGUGGGGAGCAAACAGGAUUAGAUACCCUGGUAGUC